AAUGCGGCUUUAGAUAAGACUGAGAGUCACGUUCACAAAGAUGGAGGAAGUGCGUCUUUUAUUGCGUUUGUCGUUUUUUCUUCUAAUUCAUUCAGUGUUCAGUGGCUAUGUGACCGAUGACUUCUUAAUUUUCACGGACAAAGAAAACGGAGUAAUAUGGCAAGCUGAUCUGAUCCAGCAGAACCUAUACGCCGUCUAUACCCAGUGUAAUAAUCCCGUAUCCGCAAGCUACGACCCAAUGGAGCAACGCGUUUACUGGACUGAAGUUGCCACCUUUUCUCUAAUUAGAAGAGUAAAUGUUGAUGGAACAGCACCUGAAACGGUCUUUUAUUUUGCUAUAAGUAGCAUACCGGACGCCAUUUCAGUCGACCAUAUUUCCCGCC